CCAAUAGCGUAUAUUAAAGUUGUUGCAGUUAAAAAGCUCGUAGUUGAAUUUCGGAAUCUGUCCGUUGGUCGGGCUUCAUUGUCCGUACUGGUGUGAUGGGUUCUUACCUUCUGAAUAACCAGCAUGCCAUUCAUUUGGUGCGCUGGGGAAGCAGGACUAUUACCUUGAAAAAAUUAGAGUGCUCAAAGCAGGCUAGUGCCUGAAUACAUUAGCAUGGAAUAAUAAAAUAGGACGGAAUGGUUCUAUUUUGUUGGUUUCUAGGAUCACCGUAAUGAUUAAUAGGGAGAGUUGGGGGCAUUAGUAUUCAAUUGUCAGAGGUGAAAUUCCUGGAUUUAUUGAAGACUAACUUCUGCGAAAGCAUUUGCCAAGGAUGUUUUCAUUAAUCAAGAACGAAAGUUAGGGGAUCGAAGACGAUCAGAUACCGUCGUAGUCUUAACCAUAAACUAUGCCGACUAGGGAUCGGACGAUGUUAAUUUUUUAAUGACUCGUUCGGCGCCUUACG
rnacentral:rRNA from 1 species